rnacentral:rRNA from 1 species
ACUCUCGGCAACGGAUAUCUCGGCUCACGCAUCGAUGAAGAACGUUAGCAAAAUGCGAUACUUGGUGUGAAUUGCAGAAUCCCGUGAACCAUCGAGUUUUUGAACGCAAGUUGCGCCCAAAGCCAUUUGGUUGAGGGCACGUCUGCCUGGGCGUCACGCAUCGUGUCGC